UUCCUUUUAAGCAUAUUAUAUCAAACUAAAACAUAACUUUCAAAAUCAGUUUGGCAGAAAUUAGUCACAGGCCAACAUCUCCCACCACAUGCCAAGUUAGGUUCAAAAUGGGUGUAUGAUUUCAACAUAAAGGGUGAUGUCAUAAGCAAAUUAGAGAAGCAUGGAAAAAUUACCUAUUGCUCUGUGGGGACAGGAAGAGAUCAUAACCACACGAGAGACAAAGAGGAUCACAUAAGAUUCCUUACAGGGUUUCAGAGCCUCAUGUAAUCAACACAAUGUCAUUGGCAAAUAAAGAGCACUCAGAAGACGUCAGUACCCAUGAUGCUCUGAUUUAUAAGGAAACUCUUCAACUUGGAUGGUCUGCUCUCUCAUCCUUGAUCCUGGCAAACACUUAGGCUGGGCUCUAAGCCCAUCAUGGCACCUGCUUCAACCACCUUCAUGGCCAUUGGAACAAAUUGUUCUCAUCUGCCCAUUCCAUCAGAAGAAGUCUUCACAUGCUUAGGGUAGACAUCUCCCAAACUCAUCAAUGAGUUUAAGAGCCCCUUUCGGCCCAGGAAGUGUGGAACUACUUAAUAGAAAAUGCCAGUGGCAAAACUUGCUAUUUCAGUUUUCCAAAGGACAGCAGCUGGCAGACUUCACCAAAUGGGUUUCCCUCCUCCCCAACUGCUCAACUGUCUUCUAUACUAUCGCCUAAGGUCAUACAGCAAACCAAAGGGAGAGGGCAACUCUAUUCGUAGCUCCCCUCCAGAUUUCCCCCCAAAUGGAAAAAGAAAAUCAUAGUCCUUAUGACAAAUAACCAGUCAGCAAAUCAAAUCUCCACAUUGAUCAUGUUCAAAAAUGUGUCUCCUCUAAACCUUGAAUCCAUCUUCUUUCUAACAGGAAGUGGCUAGCAUACUUCCUUAUCAGUGUUCUGAAGUGGAAGUUGGUCAUUGACCUGAUUAGAGUUCUCAAAAAAAAAUUAUGUUCUAAAGUCCAGGUAUCACUGACCUCAAAAUGCCAAAGCGUGCUCCUGCUUUCCCCAACAGUACAUUUAGAAAAUGUGAUACUAUAGGGAGUGAAGAAAUAGGGCAACGUAGCCUAUACUGGAUAACUGUUUUCCUCCAGGAUUUCACCAGACAGCAUUUGGAGCUUCCAUCAAUUCGCCCCUUCACUCCCUCCUACUCCUAAUCCAUCUAAGAAAGCCUGGAGUUGCUUCAGUAGCAAUGCUAAUUUCACUGUGCCUUCUCCUGGUGGUCCUAGAAUAUCUCUCAGGACAAACGCUCUAUGUCCCCUUGGCCACCCAGUGACACUUUCUUCUGCAGAAUCUAUUGUGUGCUCAGAAACUUGCCAUUAUAAUGCAGCGCCUGACCUGGAUUUCUAAUCACAGAGAGCUCCACUGCUAUUCCUGCAGCAGAGGAAGAACACAGUCCUUUCUGCUAUACUUUCUACAAGUCCCAGCCAUCCCCUGGAGCUGCAAAUGUCAUCCUUAACUGACAUUAAAAAAUCAGGUUCCUCUUCUUCCAUCUCAGACUUAAUUUGAAAUUGAAAAAGAUUUUAUAUACUUAGAAUACUUUGUAUGCACCAUAUGUAUUUAACAAAAAUCAAAGCCAGUCCUUGGAACACAUGCUACCACUACACAAGCUGCCGUUUGUUGGGGACACCAAAAUAAAAUAUUUC